GCCAGUAUGGUGGAAUUGGUAGACACGCAAGAUUCAAAAUCUUGUGGCGGUAACGUCGUGCCGGUUCGACUCCGGCUACUGGUA
rnacentral:tRNA from 1 species